AUUCUGCCUAUGCGGGGAAGGAUGAGAAGCUUCGACAAAGGUUCGAUUCGAGCGUAGCGAGAAAGCGUUGCCGCAGGCAACGACCCGAAGGGCGAGGCGCAACGCGCCGAGUAAUCCUUCCCCCACCACCA
rnacentral:sRNA from 4 species